GAUGAACGCUGGCGGCGUGCCUAAUACAUGCAAGUCGAGCGAACAGACGAGGAGCUUGCUCCUCUGACGUUAGCGGCGGACGGGUGAGUAACACGUGGAUAACCUACCUAUAAGACUGGGAUAACUUCGGGAAACCGGAGCUAAUACCGGAUAAUAUAUUGAACCGCAUGGUUCAAUAGUGAAAGACGGUUUUGCUGUCACUUAUAGAUGGAUCCGCGCCGCAUUAGCUAGUUGGUAAGGUAACGGCUUACCAAGGCAACGAUGCGUAGCCGACCUGAGAGGGGGAUCGGCCGCACUGGAACUGAGACACGGUCCAGACUCCUACGGGAGGCAGCAGUAGGGAAUCUUCCGCAAUGGGCGAAAGCCUGACGGAGCAACGCCGCGUGAGUGAUGAAGGUCUUCGGAUCGUAAAACGCUGUUAUUAGGGAAGAACAAAUGUGUAAGUAACUAUGCACGUCUUGACGGUACCUAAUCAGAAAGCCACGGCUAACUACGU
rnacentral:rRNA from 1 species